rnacentral:rRNA from 1 species
UACGUAGGGGGCAAGCGUUGUCCGGAAUCAUUGGGCGUAAAGAGCGUGUAGGCGGCUUGGUAAGUCCGCUGUGAAAGUCCAGGGCUCAACCCUGGAAUGCCGGUGGAAACUGUCAAGCUUGAGUCCGGAAGAGGCGAGUGGAAUUCCUGGUGUAGCGGUGAAAUGCGCAGAUAUCGGGAAGAACACCUAUGGCGAAGGCAGCUCUCUGGGACGGUACUGACGCUGAGACGCGAAAGCGUGGGGAGCGAACAGG